CACACUCUAUCUCUCUCUCUCUCAGGCACUUACUAGUUCACACACGCUCUCCCCUUUCCCCUCUUCGAUCCAUUUCCAUUCCCUUCUUUGCCAUUGAAGAGGCAUUCAGAUGAUUCUCUUCCAUCCUGACCCACCUUUCCUCCGAGCAUGACAAACCAGGUGCCCCCAUCACAGCCGUUUCUCGCUUCUAGAGAGAUGUUUUAACUGGGACUUCAUUUGCUGCGAAUCUAUAAAUCAUGGUCAUUUGUAUAGGAGUACUCAUAGUCAAGGAUAUAUGAGGCUACAAGACACUCUAUAUUUUGUAUAACUAUGCAAAAAAAGAAAAAAAUAUAUAUUGUAAUAGAUGUAGAUAAAAUGCUGUGAUAUCUUUUACUUUGUGCAAUUAAGCAAAAUACAUUGUA